rnacentral:rRNA from 1 species
CCUACGGGAGGCAGCAGUGGGGAAUAUUGGGCAAUGGGCGAAAGCCUGACCCAGCGACGCCGCGUGAGGGACGAAGGCCUUCGGGUUGUAAACCUCUUUCAGCAGGGAAGAAGCGAAAGUGACGGUACCUGCAGAAGAAGCACCGGCUAACUACGUGCCAGCAGCCGCGGUAAUACGUAGGGUGCAAGCGUUGUCCGGAAUUAUUGGGCGUAAAGAGCUCGUAGGUGGUUUGCCACGUCGGAUGUGAAAACCUGAGGCUUAACCUCAGGCCUGCAUUCGAUACGGGCAGACUAGAGUGUGGUAGGGGAGACUGGAAUUCCUGGUGUAGCGGUGAAAUGCGCAGAUAUCAGGAGGAACACCGGUGGCGAAGGCGGGUCUCUGGGCCAUAACUGACACUGAGGAGCGAAAGCGUGGGGAGCAAACAGGAUUAGAUACCCUGGUAGUCCACGCCGUAAACGGUGGGCACUAGAUGUGGGGACCUUCCACGGUCUCUGCGUCGCNGCUACGCAUAAGUGCCCGCCCGUCGGGGUAGGUACGGCCGCGACGGACGUAAACCUACAAACGAAGUAGACGGCGUGAGACGUGCCGACGACGACGACGAGGGAGUAGG